AGGGAUCUGCAAUUUAAUAAUUCCUUAUCGAAGUAUGGAAACUGGAGUAGGUUUCUCAUAUUUUGAGUGGGUGCGUUACAGUAGCUCUCUGAUAACAUAAUGCAAUAAGGGUACCAGCAGAUUUUAUUUAUAGGGGGAAAGUUACCUGAUUCUUAAUCAUUGUAGCCCGACCUUUAUAAACAGCAGAAGAUGGAUUCAGCAAGUCACUCGUAAAUGUGUCUAGGACAGAUCUGAAAGUCACCCUUUUUGUUAUAAGGGCUAUAGUAGUAGGUGCUGUAGUCGCAGGUUUAGCAGUUGUAGGUGCUGCAGUUGUGGGUGCAGCAGUCGUUUGUGCAGCAG